rnacentral:rRNA from 1 species
UACCAGCACCCCGAGUGGUCGGGACUAUUAUUGGGCCUAAAGCAUCCGUAGCCGGUUUUACAAGUCCCCCGUUAAAUCCAACUGCUUAACAGAUGGGCCGCGGAGGAUACUAUAAGACUAGGAGGCAGGAGAGGCAAGCGGUACUCAGUGGGUAGGGGUAAAAUCCGUUGAUCCAUUGAAGACCACCAGUGGCGAAGGCGGCUUGCCAGAAUGCGCUCGACGGUGAGGGAUGAAAGCGUGGGGAGCAAACAGG